rnacentral:rRNA from 1 species
UACGUAGGUGGCAAGCGUUGUCCGGAUUUAUUGGGUUUAAAGGGUGCGUAGGCGGUCGGGUAAGUCUGACGUGAAAUCUUCAAGCUCAACUUGGAAACUGCGUCCGAUACUAUUCGGCUAGAGGAAUGGAGGGGAGACUGGAAUACUUGGUGUAGCAGUGAAAUGCGUAGAUAUCAAGUGGAACACCAGUGGCGAAGGCGAGUCUCUGGACAUUUCCUGACGCUGAGGCACGAAAGCCAGGGGAGCAAACGGG